AUCCUUUUCCGGUUCCUAAGCAUGACGACUGGAUGUUCACAUGUUUGGGUGACACGUGCCUCCCUGAGAUCCUGUUAUGCACUUGGCAAAUUACACAUAUGACA